rnacentral:rRNA from 1 species
ACUCAAAGGAAUUGACGGGGGCUCACACCAGCGGUGGAGCAUGUGGCUUAAUUCGAGGCUACGCGAAGAACCUUAUCCUAGGUUUGACAUGUACGGAUUAGCCUCCUGAAAGGGAGGUUACAGUCGCAAGACCGGAACGUACACAGGUGCUGCAUGGCUGUCGUCAGCUCGUGUUGUGAGAUGUUCGGUUAAGUCCUUUAACGAGCGAAACCCUUAUCCUUAGUUACCAGCGGGUUAUGCCGGGAACUCUAAGGAGACUGCCGGUGUCAAGCCGGAGGAAGGCGGGGAUGACGUCAAGUCCUCAUGGCCUUUAUGCCUAGGGCUGCACACGUGCUACAAUGGGGUGGCACAAAGGGACGCAAGCUCGCGAGAGCAAGCAAAUCCCAAAAAACACCCCCCAGUUCAGAUUGCAGGCUGCAACUCGCCUGCAUGAAGCCGGAAUCGCUAGUAAUCGCAGGUCAGCCAUACUGCGGUGAAUGUGUUCCUGAGCCUUGUACACACCGCCCGU